AGCCAUAUCAUGUUAAACUACCGGUUCUCGUCCGAUCACCGAAGUUAACCAACGUCAUGUCUGGUCCGUACCUACAUGGGUGACCGCUUGAGAAUACCAGCUGCUGUAAG